UACGUAGGGUGCAAGCGUUAAUCGGAAUUACUGGGCGUAAAGCGUGCGCAGGCGGCUUUGCAAGACAGAUGUGAAAUCCCCGGGCUCAACCUGGGAAUGGCGAUGGUGACUGCAAGGCUAGAGUUUGGCAGAGGGGGGUAGAAUUCCACGUGUAGCAGUGAAAUGCGUAGAUAUGUGGAGGAACACCGAUGGCGAAGGCAGCCCCCUGGGUCAAAACUGACGCUCAUGCACGAAGGCGUGGGGAGCAAACAGG
rnacentral:rRNA from 1 species